UACGAAGGGGGCUAGCGUUGCUCGGAAUCACUGGGCGUAAAGGGUGCGUAGGCGGGUCUUUAAGUCAGGGGUGAAAUCCUGGAGCUCAACUCCAGAACUGCCUUUGAUACUGAGGAUCUUGAGUUCGGGAGAGGUGAGUGGAACUGCGAGUGUAGAGGUGAAAUCCGUAGAUAUUCGCAAGAACACCAGUGGCGAAGGCGGCUCACUGGCCCGAUACUGACGCUGAGGCACGAAAGCGUGGGGAGCAAACAGG
rnacentral:rRNA from 1 species